GAGGAGCACGAAGAAAUUCAGGCCACAAGACUCUUGGCGUUUUCUCGCAAGCACUCAGAAUUCUCACAUGACUCCAUUCUUCGACCAUGUUCCAACAUUAGGAGUAAAUGGAUAUACAUCCACAUUCAGUUCUUUACUGAUAGAGCUGAAUAAACGAAUUGAAAGAGUUGGAUUUAAUUAUUCUUGUUUGUGGUGUCCACUGUGAUUUAGUCAGUACUGCUCAAAAUCAAAAGUACUGAAAGUGUGAACUUUGUUUUUGUCGUUCAGGAUGUUGCCAGAGUCUGGCCUGGAACCAAAAUGCCUGGGCAGAUGGGAAACCAGAGCAGGACAGUGUAUGGACUGAAAGUGUGGAGAGUGAACACGAAGCACAACAUAAUCUACGUGAAUGGCUCUGUGCCUGGACACAAGAACUGCUUAGUAAAGG